CAUAAAGAGUCCUGAAACUUGAUUCUCAGAUUUAAAAAAAAUUCUCAUUUUCUCUCUCUCUCCCUCUCUCUCUCUCCUCUCUCUUUCCUUUCAUUUCUCACUUUGCUUCUUUUUCUCAGUCCUCUCCUCUCUUCCUCCCUUCUCUCCAAUCCUUUCCCUCUUCCUCUUUCUCCCUUUCUUGCCUUUCUCUUCUGCUUUCCCUGUCCUUCUCCUUUCCCUUAGAAUUUCCUUAAAGUUAUGCAGUGAUGAGCCGCCCCGUCCCCUCUUCCAUGAGCCCUCUGUGAGGUUGCCAGCAUCAGGCUUCAGCUAACCUAAAUAUUGUUUCCCAAAUCCUCACGGAAUUAGCAGUAGACAGCAAGGAAAGGCAUUUCCCAGGACGUCUGCCUUUCAGGAGCUGUAGACCUAGCGGAACGGGGUCUCUCAAUUCCCCCGUAUAUUCUUACAAACAUUCUAUUGAUUGUUAGAAAUUAUUUUCAUUGUAUAUUAACAACGAAAGAAGAAUACUAAUUUCCCCAACUUCAACCGAAGCAAUUCAGGUCCUCUGACAUUGUGUAAGGCACAGGUUGCUCCUGUCCACAGGGCUGCUGUACAUUCUUAGUUGGGAUCCUGGCUCCAGGCUUCAGGGAGAGAGAGAACCAGGGGCUAAUGACUGGGAAGCUGAGACAGAAACUUCUAGAUUCCAACACCAGUCCUUUGACUCAUGCCAAAGAGCCCCAUUUUGUUUAUCUCUGGCAAUCACAGCAGUAUUUCUUUUAAGUUGCAGAAUCACUGCCCAACUGGCCCCUUCUUAUAGUAAGUGAGGUUGAAGGCGUGAAGUUAAUUGUUGUGUGUUGAAGACCUUG
ensembl:lncRNA